GCGGGUAUGGUUCAGUGGCAGAAUGCGACCUUCCCAAGGUUGAGAUAGGGGUUCGAUUCCCCUUACCCGCUCAA
rnacentral:tRNA from 1 species